AACGAACGCUGGCGGCAGGCUUAACACAUGCAAGUCGAACGGGUGUAGCAAUACAUCAGUGGCAGACGGGUGAGUAACACGUGGGAACCUUCCUAGGGGUACGGAACAACUCAGGGAAACUUGAGCUAAUACCGUAUACGUCCGUGAGGAGAAAGAUUUAUCGCCCUUAGACGGGCCCGCGUCGGAUUAGCUAGUUGGUGGGGUAACGGCCUACCAAGGCGACGAUCCGUAGCUGAUCUUAGAGGAUGAUCAGCCACACUGGGACUGAGACACGGCCCAGACUCCUACGGGAGGCAGCAGUGGGGAAUCUUGGACAAUGGGCGCAAGCCUGAUCCAGCCAUGCCGCGUGAGUGAAGAAGGUCUUCGGAUUGUAAAGCUCUUUUGCCAGGGACGAUAAUGACGGUACCUGGAGAAUAAGCCCCGGCAAACUUCGUGCCAGCCGCCGCCGUAACAC
rnacentral:rRNA from 1 species